AUUCAGGUUUAAAGGAUGGUCAGUGACUACAGUUGGGAAUGAGGUUCUCAGUUCUAACACUAUUUCCUCCAGUAGUUCCACGUUAUUACCUCAUUAUCCUGGUACCGUGUCCACAAAGCAAAAAGGAUGGAGUUCUUCAACUGUGUCUCCUUCUUCCUAUGGGCCUUGAUUUUCUCGUGUGAGAGAAGCUUCUGUGAUAGCUUUACGUCUUCACACAGCUGCUCCAGCACCAACGUCAUCUUGUAAAACGGGAGAUUUGGGCCACCCGCCAACUGUCAUUGUGAAGCCCUUCACAAUCGUUAUUUGUUCUCAGAAGCAGAUUGAAACAGGACCAAUGAACAGGAGUCCAAAAACGGCCUCGAAUCCAGUUUCGCUCCAUAUAGUCCAUUAAUUUCUCCAGUAUUGGUGGCACCGAUGUUCGUAAGGAGUCAAACACCGAAGGCGAGGGAAAGCAGACGAAAAAUGAAGUCGCGAACAGGAUUGGGUCCUUUUUUGUUAUACUCGGUCGACAGGUUGAAAUCGCGGAUUUUCUUCAUUAUUGCCUGGCACCAAUGGAAAUUACAUCCCAAGUGGUAGCAAGAAGGAAACAGUUUUCGGACUGCGACAAAAACUGCCCGUUCAAAAUCUGUCACAAUCCGUUCAACUCUGGGAAGGGGCAUGAUUUCCUGAAUAAGAUUUUUGAACACCGCUAUAUAGUCAAUAGCUCUUCUUCGAGACAUACAACAGAAAAGAAGCGGCACUUGCUUUAAAUCUCCUUUUUCGUUAUUAAAAUUGUCACUCACAUCUCCAACACUGAUCUCAGACCCUUCUGGAUGAUGGAGAGAAGGGCUGCUGUUGCUACCAAUUGAUGUUGGAUUGUGAAAUAUGUGACUCUAUGCCAAAGGUGUAAGCAGAAUGCUGAAAACCUAUUUGAAAGGCAAUCAGCAGCGAUCAUGACGCCAUCAGGGUGUCCAAUCAUGACGCUACCUAUUCACACAAGUUGAUAAUUACAAUAGUAGCAACUUAAGAUUGAAAAUAACAUGAUAUAAUUCUCUAACAUACCCGAAUUGAAGGUAAACAACUUACUCCAGCGAUAGCAUUGCACCAUAGACCACGCUAUUGAUGACGCUUGAUGUGUUGGCGUCUGCUAUGUGUGUGAAUCAAUUUGAAAUGAAAAUGAUUCAAAAUUGAAUUCUUACAGAUCAAAUGUAACGAAAAUUGUAAUUCAAAUUUUAAAAUGAUUAAAAAUAAAAUGUACACAUGUUGAA
rnacentral:lncRNA from 1 species